rnacentral:rRNA from 1 species
CAGCUGUAAACUAUGUGCGUUAGGUGUGUCAGUGACCACGUGUCACUGAGGUGCCGAAGGGAAACCGUGAAACGCACCGCCUGGGGAGUACGGUCGCAAGGCUGAACUUAAGGAUUGGCGGGGGGAGCACCACAACGGGUGGAGCCUGCGGUUUAAUCGGACUCAACGCCGGGAAUCUCACCGGAUAAGACAGCUGAAUGAUAGUCGGGAUGAAGACUCUACUUGACUAGCUGAGAGGAGGUGCAUGGCGUAGACGUCU